rnacentral:rRNA from 1 species
GACGAACGCUGGCGGCGUGCUUAACACAUGCAAGUCGAACGGUGAAGCGAGUGCUUGCACUCGUGGAUCAGUGGCGAACGGGUGAGUAACACGUGAGUAACCUGCCCAUCACUAUGGGAUAAGCACUGGAAACGGUGUCUAAGACUGGAUACGACCAACCCUUGCAUGGGGUGUUGGUGGAUAGAUUUAUCGGUGAUGUAUGAACUCGCGGCCUUGCAGCUUGUUGGCGUGGUAAUGGCCGACCAAGGCGACGACGAGUAGCCGGCCUGAGGGGGUGACCGGCCACACUGGGACUGAGACACGGCCCAGACUCCGACGGGAGGCAGCAGUGGCGAAUAUUGCACAAGGGGCGAGAGCCUGAUGCAGCGACGCCGCGUGAGGGAUGACGGCCUUCGGGUUGUAAACCUCUUUCAGCAGGGAAGAAGCGAAAGUGACGGUACCUGAAGAAGAAGCACCGGCUAACUACGUG